rnacentral:rRNA from 1 species
UACGUAGGGUGCGAGCGUUAAUCGGAAUUACUGGGCGUAAAGCGUGCGCAGGCGGUUUGUUAAGCGAGAUGUGAAAGCCCCGGGCUCAACCUGGGAACCGCAUUUCGAACUGGCAAACUAGAGUCUUGUAGAGGGGGGUAGAAUUCCAGGUGUAGCGGCGAAAUGCGUAGAGAUCUGGAGGAAUACCGGUGGCGAAGGCGGCCCCCUGGGCCUGUACUGACGCUCAUGCACGAAAGCGUGGGGAGCAAACAGG